UGGUUGUGUGUGGUUGGGAGCUUGUUUACAGAACUGGGUUUGGAAGCUCAUUUCUUGAUUAUUCAUCUCCAGUUCCCAGACCAGGUGAUGCUUGCAUUUAAGCAGGAAUUGUGUGCCUGCCAUGUACCAUAUAUCUCAAACUCCCAGCUUCAUGGUCCUCAAAAAUGCUAUUUCAGGUGAUGGAUGAAACCAGCUUCCUUCGGACCAUAUCAGAAGGAGUACGUCUUCUGUCCAAGCAACUGGAAUGUCUGGAUGAAAAAUUCUGCGGCUGGAAGUGAAGGGCUGAAUAAAAACCUUUAAUUAAGAGUUAAAGACUUUAAUCUGCCUCUAACUUGGUUUUCUUCCUAAAUCCUACAAUUUUCAAAAGAAAGAGAAAUCCAGAGAACACAAAAUGCCAUCCAACACAAAGCCACGAAGAUGUUGAGCCAAAACAAUUGUGGUCUCUUUGGCGAUGAAACGCUCUACUCUUCAGAUCGUUGCAGAGAAAACGUGUUUCUUCUCCCCAUCUGAACCGCGAGUUUUUCUCCAAGCUUGCCAGUUUUGCCGAGUCAGCACGAACAUAGUCCUUCUCUCUCUCCACCAACACUCCCACGGGCUGCUCCCUCAUCCACUUCUAUCCUCCUCUGCCCCCUUCCUCCCGGGUGUCCCGGAUGACCGUCUGACUAAAAUGAGGCUUCACUUCUUUUUUCGGCCAGUGAAAAACAAAGAGGAAAAAAAAAAAAAAAAGCGCGCGCACACUUCUUUUUUAAAGAUGCAAAUUUCCUACAAUUUUUUGCAAGGAGGCGGGCCCUCCUGACAGGAAGGAAGAGGGUUGCGCUGGAGACGCCCGAAGCCCGCCGUGAUUGAAAGGGAGAAAAAGCCCUUGAGUUUCUCAGAUGUAAAUAAUUUAAGGUUUGGAAGUGCUCACCUUUGGAUCCAUUGGAGCUUUGGGGAACUUGUGCAGUGGGGGAAAAAAAUUGCUGAGACAAGCGGGAGUGAAGCGAGCUGACUGGCCUGGACUGGAUUCAGCCGGGGGAGCAGCUGAGGAGCGCUUGGGGAGGAAACCAGCCAAUGGAGGGGAGGAUUGGGGCCCCCCAGGCACACAGAGCUGCCUGUGGAUGGGGACAUCCUCUCUCACGUGAGCUGAAAAUUCUCCUUGCUACAAAAAGGAUUGCAGAGAAUGAAGAAACACCAGAUAUGAUUUCAAGCCAUUGGGGUGCUGAUGUGGAUACCGAUGGGCUCCUGCACCUCUUUAGCCAGACAGAUCUGUUAACACCGGAUUUCUGCUACAAUUAUAAAACAUCAUUGGAGACAAGCUGACUCAACUAAGAGCAGAAAUCCCUUUUGACAAGGAGGAAACCUUUUGAUUGUGGAGAAGUCUCUUAAAAGGGUCUGUAUCGGGGCUCUUUCAAACUUGACAUUUAUAUACAGAGCAAACAACUAUGUCAGGAUGGGUGAUAUUGGGAUGAACCUAGGCAGGUUCAUCUUCUUCUCUGAGCUGAUUUGUUUCAGUAAAUCCUCAGAAAAUAUCACUUGUCUCAUUUUCCUUCAAUCCUUUUGUCUGAGUUGGAGCUGAGAAUGGUUUUUUUUCUUUCUUUGUAAAUUCUCUUGAUUUUGGUUAUGUAACAGGGCCAGACAAUUUCCUUUGCUGAACAAAAGUCUCAAAUGAAUAGAUAUCGAUGGUAAUACCAGUAAUUAACAGUUUCUCUCAGUGGUGCAUGUCUGAAACUGCUUUUAUUGAUUUAUUUUGACUCUGUUCCAUAUAGGAUAUUUUUUCAGCUCGCACAAACAUGUGCUUAUUUCCUUUUGGUCCUGACCAUUCUGAGCUCUGUUUUUUAAAGAUUGUAAUUCCUCAGGACAGCUCUGACAGGGCAGCAGAUGAAACGGGACUAAGAUGCCUUCAGCAAAUUGUAACCUUGAAGGGUUAUCAAUGAGUGUGAAGGAUGGAGAACCUCUUAGUUUUGGGUUUGAUGUUCUGGGUUUCCUUUUGGGUUUGAUUGGACUGGAACUUGGAGUUGCAUGGAAUUGUGUGUGGGGAAAGGAAAGGAGGAUGUGAGAGGGGUCAUCCAGGCAAAGAUAGAAGUCAAGGAGGAGAAAAUUGGGAGAGACAGAACCAGUUGCCCAGUGUCCCCUGACUCAGGCAGCUCUGCUUCCCUGUGAAUCCCAGUUAUGCUUUUUUCUUUCCCUCAAUCAAGGGAAAAAUGCAGAGUGUUAAAAGGGCAAUUUGUUUGGAUGGUUAGGUAUGUCAAAAUUAUUAUUUUUUCCCCAGAAUUGAGACCUUUUGUUAAGUUUGUUAUAGAAAACUUAGAUGAUACCGAAGCAAAGGAGGAAGAGGAGGAGAGGAGAGGAAACUAGUUUUAAAUAUUUCCAAACAUUUUGUGGUCCUACAUGCAGACACAUUCUACACCCCCACCUCCCUCUCUCUCUCCCUCUCUCUCUCACACACACAAUACAUUUGAGAUCCCACUGAACAUACCUUCAGAACAUAAUUAUACUGAACAUACUAUUCUGUGACCUGUGUUUCAAAUUAGUGAUAUGUCAUGAACCCAUUAUCAUGUCAAUAAUUAUACCUAUGUAUCAUCAUUUUUAAUGGCUGAAUCGUAUUCCAUUUGAUGGACAUACAACAUGUUUAACCGAUCACCUAGUGUUGGAUAUUUAGUUUGUUUCUUUUCUUUCUUUGUCUCUUUCACUUUUCCUCCCUCCUUCCCUCCCUCACUCUACCUUCCCUAUAUAACUAUUCUAAAAUAUAUACCCUUGAUCUUUUUGCGUGAAUCUGAAGCAUUUGCUUAGAACAAAUUCUUAGCUGCAGAGUGUUGGGUCAAAGAGUGUCCCCAUUUCUCAGGCUUCUGAUGCAUUCUCUACUCUGUCCUCUGAGAAGAUUGUACUGAUGUCUAUAGAGAAUAUGGCAAUUCUAACCGCAGAAUUACACCAUCUAGUAAGGCUUCUCUGAAGGUGGAAUGUUUGCACUGAGAAAUCUAGGAUGGAGAUGAGUUAAGGCAAGGGAGAGGGAUGGUGAUAAUGGUGGCGGUGGUCAUGGCAAACAUUCCUGGCAGAGGAACACACAUGUGCAAAGAACACUUGGCAGGAGGGAAUAAGGGACCCUCAAAGAGGCAGAUUGAGCACAAAGAAUAAGGGAGGCUAUUUUAUUCAGGGUUCUUUAGUUAUAGGAAUUGGCUCAUAUGAAUAAGGAGGCUGGCAAGUCCCAAGAUUGCAGCCAGCAGGCUGGAGACCCAGGAAGAGCCAAUGUUUCCGUUUGAGUCCAAAGGUAGGAAAAAUCCCCAGCUCAAGGCAGUGAGGCAGGAGGAGUUCACUCUUCCUUGAGAGAGGAUCAGCCUUUCGGUUCUAUUCAGGCCUUUAACUGAUUAGAUGAGGCCCACCCACACUAGAGAAGGCAAUCUGCUUUACUCAGUCUACUGAUUCAAAAAUUAAUCUCAUCUAAAAACUUCUUCACAGACACACCCAGAAUAACAUUUGACCAAAUAUUUGCACAUCUGGUGGCCCAGUCAAAUUGACACAUAACAUUAACUAUCACAGGAGAAACAGGAGAGGAGGUUCAAGGAGUGGACAAUGGGAGAGGGAAUGAGGAUGGAAAGAGAAUGAGACCAUACAGGGCCUUAUGGACCACACAAAGGCUUUUGGUUUUACUAUUAAGAGAUAUUGGAAGUCACUAAGUAGUUUCAGCAAGGCUGGAGGUGCGGUGGCGUAACCACAUUCAUGGUAACCCUAUGAAAUGUGUAGGGAGGGCAUUGCUUUCCCUUUUCACAGAUGAAAAGACUGGGCUAGAACAUUUAGGUAGCUGCCCUAGGUCCUCUCUUUUUCCACAGUGCAAAUUAAGGUUCUUUUGGCCAUACUAAACCACUAUUUGUGGGUCAACAUAUGCAUAGAGAACUUUGACAAAGGAUUCCCCAAAUACACUGAUGGGGGCUAUAGUACACGCUCUCAGUACUCCACCAACAUGCUCUUGUUUCAACUUGGAAGCACCAAGCAGUUAACGUCCCCAGAAGCCACCCAACGGCAGAUGGAGAGCUAGUGGAUAAAUACCACUUCCUGGAAGUCCCGGGUUGUGGAAUAAUUGUGAGGCAUUGUGCUCCACAGCGCUCUCCCAGUGGGACUGGAGCUCCCAACGGGACUCUGCUCCAGUUGCCCUGGGCAAUUGUCUUUUUGAUAACACCAUCUGUAUUGACUGCCUUCCCAUUCCUGUCUUGCUUCCCUGCUACCCUGAUGGGGUGUUUCCCGAGACCACUUUCCCAAAUAAAUAACUUACGCUUAAGCCAUUGUCUCAGGAUCUGCUUCUAGGGUUGCCGAGCCAAAGGCAAAGAUGCGCCUUCCAUCAGAUUCCUGCUUCUGUGCAGUUUUACUGUGGUCCCUUGGAGCUUGACAGGCACUUGGGCUCUGUAGCUGGAGGUUUUAGUGAUAAGCAUGGGGCCAAGACUCUCAACAUUCAUUCCUUUCUUCCUCUCAUGACUACAGAGCUGGUGUCAGGAAGGGACCUCCGUGGGCAGUAUGCGUAAAUCUUGGCUGCAAUGCAUUUCUGCUUAAGGCAGGAUUUGACAGUGUGUACCCGCCAGCAUGCCAGCAACGGUGUUGACACCAUACACGAGGCUGAAGGAUUAAUCAUCGGCCCUUGCCAAUUCCAGGAUAACACUCCUGCCAUCUUCUCACCUCUCACACCUCUGCUAUCCAAUGGGUCCCUGAGGCUGCAUCAGUAAUUUAUAUGAGAACCCACAAUAUCAGGACUCUGGCAUGCUUUCCAACAGUCCACCAGAUUUUGGCUUUUAUCCUCCCUUCUGGGUCAGGGUUGGCACUUUGUUUUCCCAAACCGCAAGUGGCAUCAGGUGAAGCAUUAUCUCCAGGCUGGACACUUGCCGUCAUUUUCUAAGGACACCGGUCCUGGGGAUGUGAAUUAAAUGCUCAUAAUUAGAAGGUGCCUUUCUGCCAGGCUUCUUUAGGGAAAAUUUCCUCCUCACUCUAUCUGAUACUCCCAUGGAGAUGAGGGGGGAAAAUUCAUAUCUGGCAGCAGGCAGUGGUAUCAGAAAUAAUGGCUUGAGGCACCCGAAAAAUGUAAUCAAUAUUUACCUGCUGAGAGGUCCCUUGAUGGGAAGGAAAUUGACUCUCUUCCCCACUGCAUAUGUCGCAUUUUGAUAUCCUCCCUCCUUUGUGUCUUUGGCAGAGGGGGAAGUGCAUAAUCUUGGUUCUUCAACAGGAAAAAACUCUAGGAAACCAUUAUAUGGUCAGUCUGUAUAAGAUAAUCCAUUACUGAGGGAGGAGCUGCUUAAAAUAUUCAAGCUGUUCCCCUGGUUCUCUGCCUGGUUUCUGUUUCUUUGUGCCCAAACUGUUGCAGUCAGGGAUAUAAAUUUCCUUUCUCUCCUUCACCCCUUGCCUAGAACAAAUAAUAAUUGAUGACAGUUGUUUCAUUUUCUGUGUCACCUCCUAAGAGAAGUCUCCUGGAGAAAAAAAAAAACUGAUGUGGGUUGAUAAUGUUUCUUUGGGCUGUUUUAUCAUGGGUCUGGAGGUGUGAGUACAGAAUAUCCCUAUAAGACUCCAAUGCAUAUCAUCUAGAUGAUUUUUUCCCCAGCAGAAGUGUACUGGUCUGAGUUUCUGGUUGCAAACAAAACAACAGAACGGAUGCUAGUGAAAUUAAAUAGAAAAGGAUCUAUGGUUUGGAAAAUAAGUAGGAAGUAAGGGAGGCAAAACCUGGCCAGGACUUGUCCUCAGGACCAGCCAGCCUGGAGUGUCCCUGCUGGUGUGGUCGCCCCUGGAGACUUGCCAUUCUGCAACUGCUCUAUAAACCAGCCUCAGACACAUAAGUGUCUCUGAAGAUUGCUGUCUUUGCACUCUCUGUUCAUAUUCCAAGUCCUGGAGAGAGGCAUCUCCCGGCUGAGCUUCAGUCACAGCUAGCUACCUAGCUUCCAGGUGUCAGGGACAAGACCCCAUCCCUUCUGCCUCUGUAGAGGAGUCUUUGAAAAUCCAGCCUUUUCCAUUACUCACCCAUUCUCUUCCCUCCAGGCACGCCCUGUCUUUCUUCCCUCUUAAUUUUCUCCCAUCGCUCUUGUAUCAUCCAACAUAUAAUUUACUUAUCUAUAGUGUUUAUGGUCUACAUUCCUCCACUAGAAUCAGAGUGCCAUGAGAGCAGGGAUUUUGGUCUUCUUGGUUCAUGCCUAAAUCCACAGUCCCUAGAAUAGUGCCUGACACAUGGCAGGCACUUAAUAAAUGUAAGUUGCGUAAAUUAAUUAAUCAAGUAGGAGGGAUGGUGUGGAUGCCGGGCUGCUCCAAAGGAUAAAUAUCUAUUGCAAGAAAUAUUUCUCAUUCUUGAUCAAAGAAAUGGUCACUUUCAGAAAGAGCUCUUUGUUUUUAGCAAGAUGAGAUGGUCAGCAACUCAUGCACUACAGAGAAAAAUACUGCCUUGUGAGAUUUUUUUCCUUCAGAUUUUCUUCUACACAAAGUUGACAUUUUUGGUUAGUAUCCAUUGGUGUCUGUUUGUCUCUAAAAUGAAUCAUAGAGGCCUCAGCAAGGAUCCUGGAACAUGGCAGAGUUAUGGACAGGCUCAUCUCUUCCUACUUUGGGCAGAGAAUAAAGGGAGAGUCUGGUUCCUCUGCUCAAGUCUUUGGACAAAUGGUGCCACUUGGCAUGGGCAUUCAGGGUGGCAGCUUUGUGGGAGAGGAAAUGUAGACCUCAUUGUUUAAGUUCCCCAACCCUGAUCACAUGCUUAAAGACCAGCAUUUAUUGAGCACCCACUGUAUGCCAGGCACUCUUCUAAGCACAUUGUAUGUUCUGGAUUCUUUAGUCCACCACACUAUUAUCCCCACAUUGCAGCUGGAAUGCUGGGACACACUUGGGAUUUAUGUGAGCCAUGCCAAGUUGCAUGAGGACUUUCCCUCUUCCAGAGUCAUGGAGAGGAACCUGGCUGCAACACCAAGCCAGGCGAGCCUCUUCUGAGAAUGAGAGAGGAGAGUGCCUACCUGAGAGGCCCAAUUUUUCUCAACACCCAUUUCCUCUAAGGGGAUUAUGUUAACUGAGAUUUGGCCCAAAGGGCUAUCUGCGUUUGAUGGUAUGGAGCCAUGCAAGAAUAAGACGUAUAGAAGAAAGUUGUGAAAACAAAGUGUUAGAACAUUCUAGGAAUACCUAUAGCUACCCUAUAAAGAGAAUUUUUUGCUGCAUUGGGGUAAGGUUAUUGAAAUUCACAUCCUACUUCUGACCCUUAUUCAUGGACACAAAGGAAGCACGUUAGCUAUCAUUAUCCUUAACACGCGGGAUUUGGGGAAAUCCAUUUUUUCUUAUGACAUAAUGCUAAUGAACCACAACUGACUUUCUCCACAGCAAUGUAGUCACUGCAAUCAAAUGAACACAAACUCAAAAUGUGCUUUUCUUUAUUCUGGGGCCAGGGAAUUAAUUAGGUGUGAGUUGGAGAAGGAUUAAGAUACAAGAUGCCAGAUAAGACAUAAGAUAUCCAAUUAAAUUUGAAUUUUAGAUAGAUAAUGAAUAUUUUUAAAAAUAUAAGUAUGUCUCAUGCAACAUUUGGAAUAUACUUACACUAAAAAAUUAUUCAUUGUUUGUCUGAAAUUCAAAUUUCACUGGGCAUCCUAUAAUUUUGUUUGGUAAAUCUUGCAAUCCUAAGAAGAACAUGGGUAUUGCUUCAUCUAUGGCCAUUCCUGGCCUCACAUUCGUCUCCUGCUCCCCACCUUCCUGCUUAAAUGUGAAAUCAAAAGUCAUAGAAGGCUUGACAAAAUGACAAGAAUUUUAAUGGCCUAAGGCAUUAAUUCAUCCUUAACAGGAGACAUGUCCAAUCCAUUUAGGUUUAGUGACUUGAAAUGGCAGCAUUUUCAUAUUUCCCAUCCUUACUCCAUGUCUCAUCAAGAACCAGGAUGGACUGGGGAGCAAUUAUUUCCAUUCUGGGGGUGUUUGAGGGAAAAUUUCUUCUUACGUAGAGGGUGAAGAUUCAAGGCUUACAGGUAGAUGUCAGAGGCCCUUGGGCAGGUGUUAAUUCCACUCUCCUUUUACUCUGAUGCUAAUUUCUUAACAGUCACGAGCAUACAGGUGCAGCUAGCAAUGUUGAGGAGAGCUGCGUCCCAAAUCUGGGUGAUUAAGUCACGCUUUCUCAUUUCCACGCUGUAAUUUGAGAUGUUCUUGAUUUUCAUUUCUUCUGAUCAUCAACUAGCGGUGGUACCAAACAUUUUAAUGUUUAAAACCUCUGCCCCCCACCUCCCAGACUGGUGUCAGGAUAUGUGCUUGAUCAUCCAAAAGGAGAUAUCUGUUAAGAGAGCCCUGUAGUGUAUCCUUACACACAAGUGAAAAUUCCUUUUAUAAUGCAAAUUUCCCAUCUUCCCUGUUUUACCGGUUCUGUAAAUUUUGAGGCUUUUGAACAUUGAGUUUUUUAAAAAACAAGGUAUUCUUCUAUGCCUCUGGUGUCUUGACCUCAAUUCCUCUUCCUUCCUUUCUUCCUUCCCUGUCAUUCUCAUCUUCAUCCUCCUCAUCUUUUUUUUUUUUGUGUGUUAAACCCACAAUUAAACAUUACAGCUCAGAAAACCGGUCUUCAACCUUGGCUACAUUUUAGAAUUGUAGGAGUAAUUACAAAAUAUAUGGAUGCUCCGGGCAUACCCCCAGAGAAACUGACUUAAAUGGUCCGAGGUGGGGUACUGUCAUCGAUAUUAUUUACAGGCUCCUCGAGUGAUUCUAAUUGCAGCCAGGGUUGAGGACCACCAGCCUAGAGGUAAGCAUCAGAGAAACUGAACUGAGGGAGUCUGGAUUCUCAUCCCAGCUCUGCCAUUUAUGAUGUGUCCUUUGGCAAGUUACCACUUUUCUGAGGCUCGGUUUCCUCAUCAGUAGAAUAGGGAUAUUAAUAUGUGCCAUGGAGGAGGUUGUGGUGAGGAUUAAAUGAGAUAUUCCGAAUCAAGUUCUUAGCAUAUGGUGAUCCCUUAUUAGCGUUGGUUGUUAUCUAUCCCAGGGGUCAGCAAACUGUGGUCCAUAGUCCAAAUGUAGCCCACUCCCUAUUCUUGUUAAUGAUGCUUUAUUGGGCCAUAGCCACACCCGUUGACUUACAUAUUGUUUAUGACUGCUUUUGUGUGACAGCAGCAGGGUUGAGUGGUUGUGAUGAGACUCUGUGGCCAACAAAUUCUAAAAUAUUUAUUCUGAACCUUGACAGAAAAUGUUUGCUGUAAGUUAAAACUGUAACAUCAACCUCAUUUAUGCCCCAUGGAGCGCCCAGUCUAUUAGGGGUAGCCACCUCAAAUAUCUCCCAUACAUUGCAGCAGGGAGGCAGUGUGGUGUCCCGAAGACAGUCUGGGAUUGGGUUCUUUCCUCAAGUCCUCCCUAAACCAUGCAUUUGACCUUAAGUAACCUGCUUUUCCUCUCUGAGCCUCAGUUUUCUCGUUUCUAAGGUAGAAGGGUGGGGCUAGAUGAUCUCCAAAAGUUCUUUCAGCUCUAGAAUUUUCUGAUUCUGUCCCUGGCAUUCUGUGGAGCUCUCAAAGCACAGAUCCAUCUAUUCUAUGGGAACUGGGCCAGGAGAACUUUUAAAUUGGGGAUGAUGAAAUAGCAGGCUUUCUCUUGUCCGCACUACAGCUGUUUAACAGCAAGUCCAUGCAAUUCACAGUUGCUCUUCCUUCUUCAGAGGUUCAGAGAAAGGUUUAUAAAUCCUCUGUUGUGGGAUGAAUAAUGACCCCCCAAGAUAUCCAGGUCUGAAUCCCUGGAACUGGUGAAUGUCAUCUUGUAUGGCAAAAGAAAUGUGCAGGUAUAGUUAAGAAUUUCGAAAUAGGGAGAUAAUUCUGGAUAACCUGAGUGUGCCCUAAAUGCUAUCACCGGUAUCCUUAUAAGAGGGAGGCAGAAGGCAGAGGGUGAUUUUACUACAGAGAAGGCGAUAUGACAACCUCACCUGAGAGAGAUUUGAAGAUGCUAAGCUGCUGGCUUUGAAGAUGGAAGAGGCCGUGAGCCAAGGAAUGCAGCUCCAGAAGCUGGAAAAGGCGACAGUGGAUUCUCCACUCUGUAGCUGCUCUGGAGGGAGCAUGUCUCUUUCACAUUUUGAUUUCACUCCAGUGAAACUGAUUUGAGACUUCUGACCUCUGGAACUAUACGAGGGUAAACAUGUGUUAUUUUAAGCCCCCAAGUUUGUGGUAAUUUUUGUGUGGAAGCCAUAGGAAACUAUGAUACCCUCCUUACAUUGGUAGGUAACCUAUGGAUCCCAAGGGGAAUUAGCAGUGGGCAUGUAGAGGAAGUCUCAUAGAGAGAGAAUUAAUAGAGAGAUUUGUGGCAGUUAGCCAUGUGGAAAGACUGGAAUGGAGUAGAGAGGGAGGGAAAAAUAGAGGAAGAGUUGAAUGGAUUGAGAGAGAAAAUAUGGAAGGCUUGAGGUCUUCCCUACUUCUUCAUUUCCAUUCUUUGCUGUAGUGGACAGAAUUCUAAGAUAGCCUCCAUGACCUCCACUCCCUGCUGUUACACCUUGGUGUAAUCCCCUCCCUUGAGUGGCGUUAGGAUCUGUGACUGGCUUCUAACAAACAGAAUAUGGCAGAGGUGAUGGGAUGUCACUCACAUGAUUGCAUUUUAUUAUAUAAGACUAGAUAACGCUAUGUAUAACAUUAUAUAACUAGAGAGAGACUUUCCUGUUGGCCUUGAAGAAGCCAACAGCCAUGUUAUGAACUAUCUAUGGAGGGAGCCAUGUGUCAGAGAACUGUGACCAGGUCUCUAGGAUUGGGGGCAGCCUCUAUAGCUAGUGAGAAACAGGGCCUUCAGUCAUACAGCAACAAGAAAAUGAAUUCUGCCAACAACCAAAAUGAGCUUGGAAGCAGAUCCUUCUCCAGCCAACAUUCAAGAUGAGAACACAGCCCACCCAAGAACCUGAAUGGAGCCUUGCGAGAUCUGCAGCUGAAGACCCAGUUAAGCUGUUCCUGAAUGCCUGACACACAGAAACUGGGAGAUAAUAAUUGUAUAUCCUUUAGCUGCUAAGUUUGUGGUAAUUUGUUCCCCACCAAUAGAAAAUGAAUAUAAUCACUGCCAAUAAAAUACAUUCCAGAAUGGAUGGAGUAGAUGGCCAUCUAGGAAGUGUGGUUUUGGGGUAACUCAAAUCUUUAGCUUUCACAAGGAUUUCCCCCUCUGUGAGUACCCACGAUGCCCAACCUAGCGACUCUUUAUAAUUGAAGAUGUCUAAGAUCUAUUUAAAAUAAAAAUGUUACCAAGGAGGUUUAGAAUAUGGAAUAACUAUUAGUUUUAAACUUAGAUCAGUUCAAGUAUUUGAUAAAUUCAAUAGUCAGUAGCAUAGAGGGGGUACACAGGAUAGACAAGUUUUGAUUGGGGCAAAAUGGAGGACCAGGAGCGAUCCAGCAUAAGAAUGUUGUUUAAUGUUUACCAUUAUGUAACUUGGUCAAAGUCACACAGCUAAUAAGUGGUGAUAGCUAGGAGGGACCAUGUGUUGGGAUUCUUGAAUAGACAGGGGAUUGAAGAAUGACUGUGGGUCUGCAAGAAAUGGGAUGGGGUCCUGAGGAAGGAGGAAGGUUCUCCAAAGAGGAAUGUAAUCCAAGGCAGCUCCAACUGAAGGCAAACUAAGAAGAGACUUGUGAAAAAGAUGUUAACCGGGUUUAUUGGUAAGGAAUGCCUGAGGGACUUGCCUGAGAGCGACUCUGAGACCAUGUCCAGGUUCAGUGGGGAAGAUUUAUUAGUGAUGUCUACCUUGGGCUUAGUGGGGAGGGAGUGAAGACACAUGUGCUAUUGAUUUGUCAUCUUUAACUUAGGGAUGGGAAAGAACCUCUCCAAAUCAUUCCUGAGUGAUAAUAUGAGAACAUCCAGCCCGAAAGAAAAAUUUGGACCACUCAGUAAUUGCAGCCAACAGAAGAGAGAAUUCUGAGGCCCAAGAAGAGAGCAGAGCUACGAGAUGGAAGGAGUCUGGGUCCCAGAGUAACUUCAUGGAAUGCUGUCCAUUUACAAAGGUCUUUUCAUGAGCAAGAAAUAAAUUUCUAGUGAGUGAAGCCUCUGCUCCACUCUGGGGUGCUCCAGUGGUGCAUCCCAGAACAAGGAAUCCCAACAUGAUGUCCAGUAAAACAUCAGCAAUCUCCAUAUAGUAAAUAUUCUAUAUCUUGCUAGAGGUGUGGGUUACAUGGGUGUAGACAUUUGUUAAAACUGAUUAAAAUGUUAAGAUCUUUGCAUUUCAUUGUAAGCAAAUUAUGC
ensembl:lncRNA